GACGAACGCUGGCGGCGUGCUUAACACAUGCAAGUCGAACGGAAAGGCCCUGCUUUUGUGGGGUGCUCGAGUGGCGAACGGGUGAGUAACACGUGAGUAACCUGCCCUUGACUUUGGGAUAACUUCAGGAAACUGGGGCUAAUACCGGAUAGGAGCUCCUGCUGCAUGGUGGGGGUUGGAAAGUUUCGGCGGUUGGGGAUGGACUCGCGGCUUAUCAGCUUGUUGGUGGGGUAGUGGCUUACCAAGGCUUUGACGGGUAGCCGGCCUGAGAGGGUGACCGGCCACAUUGGGACUGAGAUACGGCCCAGACUAGUACGGGAGGCAGCGGUGGAGAAUAUUGCACAAUGGGCGGGAGCCUGAUGCAGCAACGCCGCGUGCGGGAUGACGGCCUUCGGGUUGUAAACCGCUUUCGCCUGUGACGAAGCGUGAGUGACGGUAAUGGGUAAAGAAGCACCGGCUAACUACGUG
rnacentral:rRNA from 1 species